UACGGGGGGGGCAAGCGUUGUUCGGAAUUACUGGGCGUAAAGCGCACGUAGGCGGAUUUGUAAGUCAGGGGUGAAAUCCCGGGGCUCAACCUCGGAACUGCCUUUGAUACUGCAAGUCUCGAGUCCGAUAGAGGUGGGUGGAAUUCCUAGUGUAGAGGUGAAAUUCGUAGAUAUUAGGAAGAACACCGGUGGCGAAGGCGGCCCACUGGAUCGGUACUGACGCUGAGGUGCGAAAGCGUGGGGAGCAAACAGG
rnacentral:rRNA from 1 species